AUCAUGGCACAGGCUCAGGGUAUGGGGAAGAGAUACAUUAAAGCCUUUUUUAAAGGUUUCUUUGUUGCUGUUCCUGUAACUGUGACUUUCCUGGACAGAGUUGCCUGUGUCGCCAGGGUGGAAGGAGCAUCAAUGCAGCCUUCUUUGAAUCCUGGGGGAAGACAAGCAUCUGAUGUAGUACUCUUAAACCACUGGAGCAUUAGAAAUUAUGAUGUACAGCGCGGGGACAUUGUGUCACUAGUUGAAGAAUGUGCUGUGUAAAGUUGAAUGAACUUGGAUUAUUUGUCAUCAGAUAGACAUUUAUCUUGGAGGAUUUCAGCCCACAUUUUCCCUUUACUAUAAACUUUUUCGGUUGACAUGAAGUAAUCUGUAUCCUUCCUGAGGAUAAAAGAAAAGUUUUUCUUUAAAUAUUAUUUCCCAAUUGGAGUCUGAUUUUGUGUAAAAGCUGUGUUGCUGUCUAGAAGAAAAACCUCAUCCAUCUAGUUUUUAUUUUCCAGACAUUCACCAGAAGACACCAAGUUAGAAGAAGCAGUCAAGAAUAUUUUUGUUUGCCUUCAUAAAGCUUUGGCUCCCUAAAUGAAUUCAGAACUUCCCACAUUGCCUACCGACAAAUAUUAUGCAUAAGAAACUCAUAUUAUUGUAGGUCACUGAAUUAAUUUUUAAAAUGCCAAUUGACAUGAUUCCCUUAGGGAUUUGUAAGUUGCUGCUAUAUAUUAUGUUCCUACACAAAUGUGGGAAUUCAGAAUUUUAGAAGGGGAAGCAUUUAUAGUACAGAAACAGCUUAACACAUCAGGUAAUGCUUUUCUAACAUUUAAAUUAUAAUAAAUGGAAAUAGGCAGACUUUCUAGAGAUUUUUCAUUGUCAUUGCAUGUUUAGGUCUCAGGAAAGUGUUGGGAUUGGUGUUCAUUCUUUCUCCUGGCACCAAACUUCACAACCUCACUGUAUUUUGCAUAACCAAAAAUGGGAGUUACAAGUACAAAUAAUGGAUAAAGCUUAGUUCAGUCCAUAGUUGUACCAAAUGCUUGAAGUGAAAUAGCCAAAGAAAGAUAAGAGCUUUUUGAUUGAGUGAUUUUUGAUUGGAAAAGAUAUUGGAGAUAGUACUACUAUUUGUUAUAUCUUGCUGUUGUA